AGUGAACGCUGGCGGCGUGCUUAACACAUGCAAGUCGAGCGAAUUCUAACAGUGUAUCGUUAGAGUUAGCGGCAGACGGGUGAGUAAUUCUUGGGCAAUCUGCCCUCGAGAGGGAAACAACCUGCCGAAAGGUAGGCUAAUGUUCCAUAAGACCACGGGGUCGCAUGAUCCAGAGGUCAAAGCUCCGCAAGGGGCACUUGAGGAGGAGCCCGAGACCUAUCAGGUAGUUGGUGAGGUAACGGCUCACCAAGCCUUUGACGGGUAGCCGGCCUGAAAGGGUGAUCGGCCACACUGGCACUGAGACACGGGCCAGACUCCUACGGGAGGCAGCAGUGGGAAUUUUGGACAAUGGGGGCAACCCUGAUCCAGCGACGCCGCGUGGAGGAUGAAGGUCUUC
rnacentral:rRNA from 1 species